UUUUUUUAGACUAAGAUAAUAUAUUUAUAGAGACGAAAAACACAUUUAACAAAAUUAAAAUUGACAGAUUAAAAAAUAAAUAAUUACGAUUGACACUCACCGAAGCAAAGUGAUUGACAUCCCUAUGAUGAGCCUCAUCAGCACGAAUAACAGUGAUAACAUCCUUAAGAGUUGCAUCCUUAGGAAGUCUCCAAUAAUCAAUUGCAAUAGCAGGAGCAGGUACAUUUUCAACUUUACCACUCUCAAUUGCAUUCAAAUGUUGUGUAUAUGAAAUCACAGCUUCCUCCUCUAAAUAACCAACAAACCUGUGUGCAGUUUUUGGUGAGAGUAUGUAAAAAACAAAGAAUGCAUUGAAGAAAACUCCUUGUGCAGUAAUAACCAAAAGCCUUUCAUGCCAACUUGGUUUUACAAGCUCUACCAUUGUCAUCAAAUGCAUCCUCUCAUUCUCUGCUUCUUCAAGUAAUGCUUUGAUCCAACCACCAGUGUGUUGAAAUUUUCUUAGAGACUUCAAGUGUAAAAGCAUCCCUCCCACCAUUGGCGGGACGGCUGCAAUUGUUUCCAGCAUCAUUGCAUGGCAUCCGUACCGUUCCUGCAGCAGUUAUAUUUCAGAUUAAUCAAACCCAUCAAUCAAAAUUCUUCUAUGUAUCAAGUUACACUUCACUACAACACAUCGAAUUACUAGGGAAUUAAAUUUUCUUUUGUUGUCUCAACACUCUCGUUCCUAGCGGGAAUAGGCUAUGGUAAUUUAGUGUUCGGUCCAAAAGUAAGUAAAUUCUAGUAAAAAGUUGUUCUAGUCAGAAUCGAAACAAGUGAAUCAAUAAGUUACCACUAAGAAUAAAUUUUGUUAUGGAUAGAAAUAUAUGUUAUGUAGCAGUAGAUAAGCCCACAAACCUUGAAAUACAAAUCAGAGAGAACCCUUAGAAACUUGACAGAUCUGAAAGCAAACUUGUCCCCAAAUGUUUUUGGUACAUGAUGCUUGGUCACAUCUAUUGACACAUCUGAGCUGUAACUUUCCCAUGGCUGCACCAGACAUCAUACAUAGAGAACAUAUAGUAUGAGACAUUAUCGAAAUACAAUACUGUUAGAUCAACAUUGAAUUUCAUUGAUCUAAUGCUUAAAUCAAAAGUUUUUAUCGAAUAGCUCAGCUCGACAAAUUUGAAUAAAAUUACUUGAUGCUCUAUUGAAUAAAUUCAAAUCAACAUAUAAUAUAAAUAAGUCUAUCUACAAAUUUUAGGUUCAUAAGAUUUUUUUUGUGUAUGAUCAUUAACAUAAAUAAAUUCAACAUUUAUAAUGAAUUAUUAAGCAGAAUAACUCAGUUCAGAUUUACUUAUGCAUACAUUAAUUUUGAUACCUCCUCUAUAUAGUAUAUAUUCUUACCAUGAAACAGUUCCAUGGCCACUCAGUUCCAUCCUCCCUUUUAACCUUGGGCCUAGUGAUUCCCCAGUAACUCGAAACGACGGUGUUGCUGUCAUUACUGUUCUUAUUCUCCUCUGAAUGCUGAUCCUUUUUCUCUGGCAGAGUUGACAUCUUCUGCCAGUAGAAGCUUCCACGAGUGCCACCGCCAUUCUGGUGUCUCGGCUGAACUAUCACCGCAGUUGAGAAGCUGCAGUGAUAGUUGCGACUACUGUGGAACAGAGCUCGUGCCGUUGACCUUAGUAAAGAGUUUUUCAUGUAGAAUGUUUUUGAAUGAGUUCUUGGAUGAAAAUAGUAGCUCAGAAGUCAGAAGUGGAGAUUUAUAACAAGGAGUGGAGAAUAUAUUAAUAAUUUAAUAUAUAGUUUUUGUAUUAAAUUUUGUAUUCGUCACAAAGGGAAGAAGAAAGGUAGUGGAAGGUCUCAACAAUGUGGUUUUGUUGCUUUCCAUGUUUAAUUAUUCGUUAAAUUAGUGAUUGAUUAGUACUUACUACAAAGUUGGAAUUGAAAAUGUUAGCAGCCACUAGCUUUUUGGAAUUUUCUCUUCCUUGAUCCCAUUCUUAAUUAUAAGAUUCUUUAAAAGAUUUAUUUAUCCUUAAAUAUAAGAUGAUCCAUUAGAUUCAUUUUUUAAAUAUAUCUCGUAGGACUACAUCAAACUAAGUUAACUCCAAAAUACUCACUACCCUUAUUUUGAAUACAAUAAAUUAAUUUUACUAAUAAUUGAUUCCAUUAAUCUCUCUCCAAAGCCAAACUAAUAUUGAUUUUACUAAUUCCAUUCUGUGAAGCAUCAAACGUGUAGAUACAUGAUCAUCACCAAGACCACCAAACAAUUCCUUGAUUGGGUGAGAUAUUGUGUAUUGAUAAACUUUCAGGUUACAAAAUGCACACUGAAAAUACAUUUUAUUUAUUGAACAAUUCAAGCACAAAUUGAAAGUUUAGAGACAAAAAAGGCUAGAAAAAAGAAAUUACUAUAUUUUGAUAAUUUUUUUUUGACAAAAACAGUGACUCAAUGAUAACCAACAGGAGCUGGAGCCUCUUUCAAUUCUUUUCCUUGAUGGUGAAUAUCCUACAAAAAGAAGAACACAACAUUCAGAACAAUUUAUAAUGGGUCAAAUAUAUUUAUGAAUUCAAUUGCAUGCAGUCAACAAUCCUUUGCAUUCACGCAGUUGACACAUACUUGACCAUUGAGUCGAGAAAGGAUAUGACGAUCCAUAAUUCAAUGCCCAUUUUAAUAUUUAUAAAAUUUAAAAUAUCGAUCUUAAAAUUUGAAUGGUCUAAUCUCAAUCCAACAUCCACAAAAGGACCGACUGUGUGAACGCGGAGAUUACCUAUCGUAGUUAAUUCAAAUUCUAUAUUUAUAGAGGGAUAUGAAAACAUAUUUAUCACAAUUAUAAUGAAAAUAUGGCAGACUUACAGAAGCAAAGUGAUUGACAUCCCUAUGAUGAGCCUCAUCAGCACGAAUAACAGUGACAACAUCCUUAAGAGUUGCAUCAUUUGGAAGUCUCCAAUAAUCAAUAGCAAUAGCAGGAGCAGGUACAUUUUCAACUUUACCACUUUCAAUUGCAUUCAGAUAUUGUGUGUAUGAAAUCACAGCUUCCUCCUCUAAAUAACCAACAAACCUAUGUGCUAUUUUUGGUGAGAGGAUGUAAAAC
rnacentral:lncRNA from 1 species